CCCGGUGACAAUGGCGGAGGGGCAACACCCGUUCCCAUUCCGAACACGGAAGUUAAGACCUCCAGCGCCGAUGGUACUACCUAUGGUGGGAGAGUAGGUCGUUGCCGGGU
rnacentral:rRNA from 1 species